rnacentral:rRNA from 1 species
GAUGAACGCUGGCGGCGUGCCUAAUACAUGCAAGUCGAGCGAACAGACGAGGAGCUUGCGCCUCUCACGUUAGCCGCAGGCGGGUGAAUAACGCGUGGAUAACGUACCUGUAAGACUGGGAUAACUUCGGGAAACCGGAUCUAAUACCGGAGAAUCUAUUGCACCGCAGUGGGCGAUGGUAAAAGACGGUUGUUCUGUCACGUAUCGCUGGAUACGCGCCGCAUUAGCUGGUUGGUAAGGUCACAGCUUACCAAGGCGACGAUGCGUAGCCGAACUGAUAGAGGGGUAGGCGACCUGGGAAGGGAGCCAGCGACCAUACGCCUGAGAGAGGCAGCAGUAGGGUAUCGUCCGCAACGGGCGAAAGUAUGACGGAGCAACGGCGCGCGAGUGAUGAAGGCCUUCGGAUCGUAAAACUCUGUUAUUAGGGAAGAACAAAUUUGUAAGUAACUAUGCACGUAUUGACGGUACCUAAUCAGAAAGCCCCGGCUAACUACGUG